GAGAGAGAGAGAGAGAGAGAGAGAGAGAGAGAGAGAGAGAGAGAGAGAGGAAGAAAACAGCCUUUCCUGGUCUACACGAAUGCUGGCCUUAAAGCUGCCCACCACCACGCCCUGAUUUUACAUGGACUCCAGAGAGCAAGUCAGGUGAUCCGGCACACAGCAAGCAGCCUUCUGACAACCUGGUGUGUGUGUGUCUGUGCACAUUAGUGCAGAUGCUGGCAGAAGCUGAAGUGUCCACCUGUCCAUGAACUAGAAUUACAGGCAGUCCUGGACCACCACGUGCGUCCCGGGGCCAAACCCCUCUGAGAGAGCUGCAGUUGUCUUUCGACAUGAUCACAUGGACCCCAAGCCGGCCCAACACUGCCCAUGUAACUGGUGAUGACUGUGACCUUCCUGCUCAGAAGAGUGACUGCCGGGAAACUCAUGAGCUCUGAAACAGACUGGCCUUUCAGAGACUUCAACCUGCAGAUGAGAACUUCAUACCCUGCAAGGGAAGUCACUGCUGCCCUGAGGAAAAGGGGUGGCCUUGGGUGGAGGGUUCCCUUUGUCUAAAGGAAAUUCCCAGAGAAAGACUAACGUCGUCAGCAGUGCACACUUUAGCCCUGAAGGCAGCUGGGGACACAGCAGUCUGUGCUUGUGCACCUUGUCAUUUGAUUGCAUUCGCUGCUUUGGAACACGAGUUAUCACGCUUCCAUAACACGUAUGGUUCUGUCUGGGCAUGGUGGUGCAUCCUUAAUCCCAGCACUGGGGGGCAGAAGCAGGUGGAUCUCUGUGGGUUUGAGGCGGUCUAUGUGGUGUUCCAGGCUACAUAAUGAGAUUCUGUCUUGGAAAAACCCAAAUGAAAACAAAAACAAAACAAAACAAAAACUUACUGUGGUUCUUUGUGUGUGUAGAUGUAUGUGUGUGUGUGUGUAAUUUUAGUUUUUAAUUUUUUUAUUUUCUGAUUUUUCAAGACAGUGUUUUUCUGUAGCUUUGGAGCCUGUCCUGGAAACUAGCUCUUGUAGACCCAGGCUGGCCUCGAACUCACAGAGAUCCACUCCACCUGCCUCUGCUUCCUGAGUGCUGGGAAUAAAGCCGUGCACCACCAUCACCCAGCUCUUAUUGUAAUUUUAGAUACUAAUUUUUUUAUUGUUAUCAUAGUUUAAUAUGUCAUUUUUUCUGAGCCAACUUUUUUAUUUUUAAUAUUUUUUUGAGAUUACAAUGACAAUAUUUCUUUCUUCCCUUUUCUCCCUCCAAACCCUCCCACGUACCCUCCCCCUUUCAAAUUCAUGGCCGCUUUUCCCUUUAGUUGUUUUGUGUGCGUGUGUGUGUGUACAUACAUUCACACACACACACACACACACACACACAUUCCUAAAUGCAUAAUACAACCUGCUCAGCCUGAGUAACUAUAAUGAGAAAAUGCUUUUGACCCUCAAAUCAGAGAUUUCUGUUAGAGACUGGACCUGACCCCCAGCUAAGAUAUGCCAGUCACACAGGUGAGCAUCCUUGGGGACAGAGACUUUGGAAUGUAGAAUGUGAACCUUGUGUGACGCCCCUCAGCAUAAUCAAAUAUAACUUCUGUUAUACUAACUACAUGAAUCUAUCUUCAAGAUUGUGACAGUAAUGUUAUUCAUAUAUGUUUUUAGGGAUGACCACUUGGCAUUGGAUAAAAAUUGGUGUGCUCUUCCCAAAUCAACUUUUAAUAUUUUAACAUUGUUUUUGGAAGACAGUGGGGAGAGGUUCUAUGGUUUUCCUAGUGUUUUUUUCCAGCUCAAGAGCGCCAUCUUCUGUUAUUAUGAGUUGCCAUUCUCUGGAAUCUGACCUGGCUUUCUGUUCUUUUAGGGUGGCCUUGAAUUCUCUAUGUAGUGAAGAAUGACUUUCCUGAGUUCCUGAUGACCUGCCUCCAAGUUCUGGGAUUACAGAUGUGUUCCAUCACACCAGCCUUCUUCCCGUCCUUUCCACCCCCUUCCUUUCUUUCUCUUUCAGGUGUAUGUAUAUAUGUGUGUGUGUGUACACACAUAUAUACAUACAUACAUACAUACAUACGCGCACACAGUAUAUACACACACAUACACGCACAAUGUAUAUACACAUAUAUUGUGUUGCCUGUGGCAACCUAUAGAUAAUGUGUAUAUAUGUAUAUAUGUGUGUCUAUAUAUGUGUGUAUUAUUGAGAGAGUUUCACACUGCAGUCCAGGCUAACCUGGAAUGCACUGUGUAGUCCCACUGGCCUUGAACUGGUUCUCUUUCUGCCCUGGCUUCUGGCGUGCUGUAAUUACUGGCGUUGGCCUUCACAAAACGGCCUGAUGUGUUGCUCUUACAGUCAAAUGUCUCCCGGUCCUUCUAUUUAUUAUCAGGACAAUUAUUUUACUUUUCACAGUUUCUCAAAAAAGAUACUUUUUCAACACUACUACUGUUGUUCCUAUGAACUUUCUAACUGUGGCUACUGUUGCCUGUGGCAACAUGCUGGGUUCAGACCCGUUCCCAGCUAUUCCACUGUGGGUUGGGACCUUCCUUCUGGGAGUGAACCAUUGUUCACUAGUGACCUUAGCUUACCCUGAUCUUUUGAGCAUUUCUGGUGGCUUCUACACAGUCCUGGGAUUCCAGCGUCAUUUCCCCAGCCUUUCCCUCCUGUGCUGAGUCCCAUGCAGGUAUUACUCUGUACUUUCCUUUUUAUUCUUCUCAUACCUUCAUGCCAAGAUGUGGCGUUAUCUACUUCAGUUUUGUCAUUCUGGAAAAUAUCAGUUUGCCUUCUCUCUCUCUCUCUCUCUCUCUCUCUCUCUUAUUUACUUAUUAAGCAUAAAAUGUACUGCUGGCAAGGAAGGCACCAGAUCUCAUUACAGAUGGUUGUGAGCCACCAUGUGGUUGCUGGGAACUGAACUUGGGACCUCUGGAAGAGCAGCCAGUGCUCUUACCCUCGGAGCCAUCUCUCCAGUCCCUCUUUUUUGGUUUUUCAAGGCAGGGUUUCUCUGUGUAACAGUCCUGGCUUUCUGGGAACUCAAACUCACUCUAUAGACCAGGCUGGCCUUGAACUCACAGAGACCCUCCUGCCUCUGCCUCCCAAGUGCUGGGAUUAAAGAAAGGUAUGCACCACCACCAACCACCCAGCUUUUUGGUUUUUUUCAAAUUUUGUUCUUAAAUUUGCUAUUUCUUGUUGGAAGAGCCUUUCUCCAGCUGGACAGGAGGUUCAAGGCCUGCUUGGACUUCAGAGUGAAUCCUAGGCCAGUCUGGCGGAAUUGGAGGGAUCCUCUUUCAAAACAGAACAAAAUAUGGGUGUGCAGUGCAGUGGUAGAGCUCUUGCUAACGCUUGCAAGGUCCUGCGUUCCAGCCCCAGUGUCUGAAAUUCAGCAAGCCAAAUAGACAGAAACCUUUUCCAUACUAAGUCAAAAAGAUUUUAUUUUAAAAAUUAUUUUUUAUUGUUUUUAUUGAGCUAUUUCCCCUUUCUUCCUCCUCUCUUUCCUUCUUCCUUCUCCUGUGACCCCCAUACUCCCAAUUUGUUCAGGAGAUCUUGUCCUUUUUCCUUCUUAUAUAGAUCCAUGUAUGUCUCUUAAAAUUAUUUUUAAUCAUUUAUUUAUUAAAUUAAUUAUUAUUAAAAUAAAUAUGCAUAUGAGGACAAGUGCCCAAAGAGGGCAUUGUGUCCCUUGGAACUAGAGCCAGGAGAGUCGGCUCCCCAUCUUCCACUACAUGGGUCCCAAGGAUGGAACCUAAGUCCUCAGUCUUAGUGGCAAGCACCGUCACUCUCUGAGCCAUCUUGCUGCACCUUAUGUUUCCUCUUACAUCUUUAAAGAAAAAAUAUUUUUUUAAUUUUGUGUUAUGUAAAUGUGGGUGCAGGUGCCCACGGGGGCCAGAAGAGGGUGUCAGAUGACCUGGGGGGCCAGAAGAGGGUAUUAGAUGGCCUGGGGGGCCAGAAGAGGGUGUCAGAUGACCUGGGGGGCCAGGAGAGGGCGUCAGAUGACCUGGGGGCCAGGAGAGGGCGUCAGAUAACCUGGGGGGCCAGAAAAGGGCCUCAGAUGACCUAGUGGCUGUGAGCAACCUGGUGUGAGUGCUGGGAGCUGAACUCUGAUCCUUGAAGGAGCAGCCAGUGCUCUUAACCCUUGAAAGACUCUUGUGGCUCCUGCACUUACAUCUUAAAGCCACUGAAAGGUCACCUAAGAGUGGAUUGGACCUAGUUUAAUCUUUCUAGGCUGGCUUGGUACUCAGUAAGUAGUUCAUGGUCACCUCAAAACUCUUGGCAGUCCUCCUGCCUCAGCUUCCUAAGCUGUAGUAUAUGCCACCACAUCCAGUUAUAACAAGUUUUCUCUACAAAGUCUCUAAAUAGUCUCUGUGUUGUGUUUCAUAAAAACACAAAUGUUAAAUUUAAAAAGAAAAAACGUAGUGGGGUGUGGUGGUACACACCUUUAAUACUAGCAGAGGCAGGAUCUUGAAAGACCCUACAAACACCCCCCCC